rnacentral:ncRNA from 1 species
AAGAUAGAGGCGCGAUUUGCUAUCAGUAGCUUUUGUGCAAAGCCCGGCGGGGUAAUGCAAAAGUGAAAGGAGCGGUCGCCGAAGGCGAUUGCCGGCGGGUAAUCGACCUGGUAAAACGGAAUAAGAUCUGUUUUACUGUCGCGUUUGCGGAGAGCUAUC